CUACAGUGACGCGGUUCAGGUGUCCCGACGGUUCAACGCCCAAGGGAUGAAACGGGAAGCCGGUGCGUGGUGUGCGAACACUGCAAGGCCGGCGCUGCCCCCGCAACGGUAAGCGAAAGACACGAACGGCGAAGGCCACUGUGCGAUGCACGGGAAGGCGCCGUUCGCGGCGAGCGGAAUCACCGCCCGCCACUCGCGAGCCCGGAGACCGGCCUGGACGCUCCUUGGUGG
rnacentral:ncRNA from 2 species